AGUUUGCCAAAGUAGAAGAGAAUGUCAUUGAUCUGAGAGUUUUCUUCACUUUAAUUCAGGAACAACAAGCAGCAUUGGAGACUGGAUUCUGUUCCCAGAAUCCUGUCCUCCAGCUUCUCAUACCAGCAGCCUCAAAAAUACGUUUCCUGGAAGAAGAUUUCCCUGCCAGAUUGCUGACUGACUCAGACAACCUGGGGCCACGCCGGAAAUUUACAGGAUGGCAGAGGGUGGAGACCUGCUCCAGAUGUGGCUCUGACCUCAGACUUUCCAGUUUUCAGAACUGCAAGAAAUAAUCUUCUGUUCUUAUGAAUUACUCAGUCUCAGGUAUUUUAUUUCAGC